GCUACGGGUGGCAGCAGUGAGGAAUAUUGGUCAAUGGACGCAAGUCUGAACCAGCCAUGCCGCGUGCAGGAAGACGGCUCUAUGAGUUGUAAACUGCUUGUGUACGAGGGUAAACGCAGAUACGCGUAUCUGUCUGAAAGUAUCGUACGAAUAAGGAUCGGCUAACUCCGUGCCAGCAGACGCGGUAAUACGGAGGAUUCAAGCGUUAACCGGAUUUGUUGGGGUUAAAGGGUGCGUAGGCGGUCGGAUAAGUUAGAGGUGAAAUCCCGAGGCUCAACUUCGGAAUUGCCGCUGAUACUGUUCGGCUAGAGAGUAGUUGCGGUAGGCGGAAUGUAUGGUGUAGCGGUGAAAUGCUUAGAGAUCAUACAGAACACCGAUUGCGAAGGCAGCUUACCAAGCUACUUCUGACGUUGAGGCACGAAAGCGUGGGGAGCAAACAGGAUUAGAUACCCUUGUAGUC
rnacentral:rRNA from 1 species